rnacentral:rRNA from 1 species
AAGUCGAGCGAACAGAUAAGGAGCUUGCUCCUUUGACGUUAGCGGCGGACGGGUGAGUAACACGUGGAUAACCUACCUAUAAGACUGGGAUAACUUCGGGAAACCGGAGCUAAUACCGGAUAACAUAUUGAACCGCAUGGUUCAAUAGUGAAAGGCGGCUUUGCUGUCACUUAUAGAUGGAUCCGCGCCGUAUUAGCUAGUUGGUAAGGUAACGGCUUACCAAGGCAACGAUACGUAGCCGACCUGAGAGGGUGAUCGGCCACACUGGAACUGAGACACGGUCCAGACUCCUACGGGAGGCAGCAGUAGGGAAUCUUCCGCAAUGGGCGAAAGCCUGACGGAGCAACGCCGCGUGAGUGAUGAAGGUCUUCGGAUCGUAAAACUCUGUUAUCAGGGAAGAACAAAUGUGUAAGUAACUGUGCACAUCUUGACGGUACCUGAUCAGAAAGCCACGGCUAACUACGUGCCAGCAGCCGCGGUAAUACGUAGGUGGCAAGCGUUAUCCGGAAUUAUUGGGCGUAAAGCGCGCGUAGGCGGUUUUUUAAGUCUGAUGUGAAAGCCCACGGCUCAACCGUGGAGGGUCAUUGGAAACUGGAAAACUUGAGUGCAGAAGAGGAAAGUGGAAUUCCAUGUGUAGCGGUGAAAUGCGCAGAGAUAUGGAGGAACACCAGUGGCGAAGGCGACUUUCGGUCUGUAACUGACGCUG